rnacentral:rRNA from 1 species
CGCGUAGGCGGCGUGUUAAGUCAGCUGUGAAAUCUCUGAGCUCAACUCAGAACGGCCAGCUGAUACUGAUGUGCUAGAGUGCAGAAGGGGCAACCGGAAUUCUUGGUGUAGCGGUGAAAUGCGUAGAUAUCAAGAGGAACACCUGAGGCGAAGGCGGGUUGCUGGGCUGACACUGACGCUGAGGCGCGAAAGCCAGGGGAGCAAACG